rnacentral:rRNA from 1 species
AGAGUUUGAUCCUGGCUCAGGAUGAACUCUAGCUACAGGCUUAACACAUGCAAGUCGAGGGGCAGCAUGGUCUUAGCUUGCUAAGGCUGAUGGCGACCGGCGCACGGGUGAGUAACACGUAUCCAACCUGCCGUCUACUCUUGGCCAGCCUUCUGAAAGGAAGAUUAAUCCAGGAUGGCAUCAUGAGUUCACAUGUCCGCAUGAUUAAAGGUAUUUUCCGGUAGACGAUGGGGAUGCGUUCCAUUAGAUAGUAGGCGGGGUAACGGCCCACCUAGUCAACGAUGGAUAGGGGUUCUGAGAGGAAGGUCCCCCACAUUGGAACUGAGACACGGUCCAAACUCCUACGGGAGGCAGCAGUGAGGAAUAUUGGUCAAUGGGCGAUGGCCUGAACCAGCCAAGUAGCGUGAAGGAUGACUGCCCUAUGGGUUGUAAACUUCUUUUAUAAAGGAAUAAAGUCGGGUAUGCAUACCCGUUUGCAUGUACUUUAUGAAUAAGGAUCGGCUAACUCCGUGCCAGCAGCCGCGGUAAUACGGAGGAUCCGAGCGUUAUCCGGAUUUAUUGGGUUUAAAGGGAGCGUAGAUGGAUGUUUAAGUCAGUUGUGAAAGUUUGCGGCUCAACCGUAAAAUUGCAGUUGAUACUGGAUGUCUUGAGUGCAGUUGAGGCAGGCGGAAUUCGUGGUGUAGCGGUGAAAUGCUUAGAUAUCACGAAGAACUCCGAUUGCGAAGGCAGCCUGCUAAGCUGCAACUGACAUUGAGGCUCGAAAGUGUGGGUAUCAAACAGGAUUAGAUACCCUGGUAGUCCACACGGUAAACGAUGAAU